rnacentral:rRNA from 1 species
AUGGCGGCGGCGGCGACGGCCACCGCGCCCUCCUCCUUCCCCUCCACCCGCGUCCACAAGCCCACUCUCCUCUCCUUCCGCGUCUCGACCAAGCUCAGAGCCACCGCCGCGCCGCCAUCCGACCCGGCCCCGGCCUUCCGGUCCGUCACGGCGUUCGCGCCGGCGACGGUGGCCAACCUCGGCCCGGGCUUCGACUUCCUGGGCUGCGCGGUCGCCGAAGCCUCGCUCUCCCUCGGCGACACCGUCACGGCCACCCUCGACCCCUCGCUGCCCGCCGGCACGGUCGCCAUCUCCGGCAUCACGUCCCCGGCCCGCCCCCGCCUCGCCGACCGCCUCUCCCGCGACCCGCUCCGCAACUGCGCGGGCAUCGCCGCCGUCGCCGCGCUGCGGGCCCUCGGCGUCCGCUCGCACGGCGUCUCCCUCAGCCUCGCCAAGGGCCUGCCGCUCGGCUCCGGGCUCGGCUCCUCGGCCGCCUCCGCCGCCGCCGCCGCCAAGGCCGUCGACGCGCUCUUCGGCUCCCUGCUCCCCCGCGACGGCCUCGUGCUCGCCGGCCUCGAGUCCGAGAAGGCCGUCAGCGGCUUCCACGCCGACAACAUCGCGCCGGCCAUCCUCGGCGGGUUCGUGAUGGUGCGGAGCUACGAUCCCUUCUGCCUCGUGUCGCUGCCUUGCCCGCCGGCGCUCCGCCUCUGCUUCGUGCUCGUCACCCCGGACUUUGAGGCGCCGACCAGCAAGAUGCGCGCCGCGCUGCCCAAGAACAUCGCCAUGGGCCACCAUGUCCGCAACUCCAGCCAGGCCGCCGCGCUCGUCGCCGGCGUGCUGCAGGGCGACGCCGCCCUCAUCGGCUCCGCGAUGUCGUCCGACUUCAUCGUCGAGCCCACCAGGGCGCCCCUGAUACCUGGAAUGGCUGCGGUGAAGGCCGCCGCUCUCGAAGCCGGAGCGCUGGGAUGUACCAUCAGCGGAGCAGGCCCGACCGCAGUGGCUGUCAUUGAGGGAGAGGAGAAGGGGGAGGAGAUCGCCCGGAGGAUGAUCGACGCCUUCCUGUCGGUCGGCAAGCUGAAAGCGACCGCCACCGUCGCUCAGCUCGACAGAGCGGGCGCCAGGGUCAUCUCCACGUCUGGAUUGGAGUAG